UUACGAGGCGCAGCAGGCGCGAAACCUCCGCAAUACACGAAAGUGUGACGGGGUUACCCAAAGUGCUCUUCUUAGAGCUGUGAUAGGUGAGUAAUGUCCCCUAUUACAAAGGAGAGGGCAAGGCUGGUGCCAGCCGCCGCGGUAAAACCAGCUCUUCAAGUGGUCGGGAUAAUUAUUGGGCUUAAAGUGUCCGUAGCCGGUUUAGUAAGUUCCUGGUAAAAUCGGGUAGCUUAACUAUCCGUAUGCUAGGAAUACUGCUAUACUA
rnacentral:rRNA from 1 species